UACGGGGGGGGCAAGCGUUGUUCGGAAUUACUGGGCGUAAAGGGCUCGUAGGCGGCCAACUAAGUCAGACGUGAAAUCCCUCGGCUUAACCGGGGAACUGCGUCUGAUACUGGAUGGCUUGAGUUUGGGAGAGGGAUGCGGAAUUCCAGGUGUAGCGGUGAAAUGCGUAGAUAUCAAGAGGAACACCUGAGGCGAAGGCGGGUUGCUAGGCUGAUACUGACGCUGAGGCGCGAAAGCUAGGGUAGCAAACGGG
rnacentral:rRNA from 1 species